AUGAGAAAAAUAUGGUUUCAAUUCAUUUUUUAAUAAUAAAAACGUAACAGAAUGCUAUGAGGGCCAGGAGCCUCACUGAGAAAAGAACCUUUGCAACUUCUCUUUGCCAAAUGAAUAAGCAUUUCUAAGUCACUUUUUAGUUCAUUUUUUUUUGUAUGUAUACAUAUGUAUAUAACAUACAAAGCCAGAUGUAAAGAAGUUCCUUGCUUGUCUUGCUGACAUCAGCUUUCUUAUGCAACUGUGAUGAAGAGGCAAUCCCAUGGUGAAAGUGCACACAGCUCAUUCCUGCAAGACUUUGCACUGUUCACAGCUCCUCCUGAACCCUGCACCCUAAGAUCCAAGCAGAAAAUAAUGAGCAAAAUAUUAGCAAAAUCCGUGGGUCUAGACAUAUCUUAAUUACCAGUUUGGACUCCAUUCUGACUGAAGAGAUGAAGUGAACAUUGGCUUUAAGUUUUCAAGUACACCCAGCUAAGCUACGCCUUCCAAACAUCAUACAUAAGGCAGGGAGUAUCCUGUUCAGUGUCAGAACAGAUGGCAGAAAGCUUGGAGGAAUUACUGCUUUGCAGGCAGGACAAAAGAACGAGAGCCCAAAUGCAGCCAGCCAGCUGAGAGCACACUGCUGCUCCUGCAAAGCUCUUCAAGGAGAAAUGCUGACACAGCCAUUUCCGGCACUAUUUGCUGCUGCAAGGAAUACUUAAGAAAAGCAAAGAUCAAGAAGGAAAAUGAUAUGUUAAGGAACACGAUGGCAGCAACAGCUUCUCAGUAGGAAUGCAAUGGGCACAUUAGCUUUGCUUCCCACACAGGUGAGAUCCAAGGUAAACACGAAGUGAUUGUGUGUGCAGAUUUCCUGGAGUCUUUGAAAUGAGUGCGUUUCAGAGCAGGGUUUCCAGAUGCUGCAAUUAAAUCUUGAAAGGUUCUCUAAAACAUUGAUGAAUCUUUACAAGGGAAUGCAAAUCAGCACAGCUAAGUGGGAAAGUGGAACUUUUUUUUUUUGUGUGCUCUCAGCACUUUGCUGUGCUUGUUUCUAAUACAUAAGAGCAACGUUCAUGCUGAUCGUGUGAUAUUAUUUCACUGUCACUUCUUAAUACCCGAUUAAGCUCAAACAUUUGGCUAUUCUUGACCACACAAACUCAUGCUGCAGUGGAGGGAGUUAUUAAAAUGAAGCCCUCAUUGUGUUACAUAGGACAGUUUAACCACUGCUUCUAGAAAGUUAUCAAAAGGACACGUCUUGCAGUAAGCUUGAAAAUACUCCAAGUACUGAAGGACAAGGAGGCAGCGCUGUGUUCAGUAGACACCUUUCUGGCUCUAUCUUGGAUUUGUUUGCAGACUUAAUGGGAUAAAUUAUGCCCAUCUUCCAUCGUGGAUGAAGAGUUCCUGGUGCAUCCCCGCGUUCUUCACAGUGUGUCGUUUCAUUGCUGUCUUCACACGAGAUCAGGACAAGAAAUGGGAGCAGAGGUAGAGGACUGCUGAUGUGGCAUCAUUAACUUCCUAGAGCUGCUGUAGCUUGCAGAGCUUGGCUCCUGCCUGCUAGUUGCUUCAGCAGAGCCCUUCCCUGGGUUUUUUUAUGUUUUUUUUUUUUUGUCUCCAAAACCUCCAGGAUCCCUUUUUAUGGGAUGUGUGACUUUUUCCAUAGUGCACUCCAGCAGAGCUGCUUUGAUCCUGCCUACCAGAAAGAUGACCCGCAGAUCUUAAAAGCUGUUUGCUCAGGUGUGUCCCCUUUUGAUUCCACGAAAUGCUUCAUUUCUCAGUCUUUCUUCUUUAUUUAAGGAGAGAGAUUAUGCAAGUGAAUUUCCACAACGGGUUUUAUUUGGCUCCGAGUACUUUAUUGACUUGAUUGCGGUGCUGCUGAUACUUUUCCUUCAAUGGGGCAGUUGUGACAGGUUGGAGCACCUAAUUCGUGCAUGCAGACUGACCAGAAAAUGAGGAAAAUGCAACAGCUGGAGAAAUCCAGCUCCUUCCAGGCUGAAUGGUUUCCUUCCGCAGAUUCCUCCAAGUCACAGCCCCUUCUUAUGGGGACACGGCUCGAUGAGAAAAUGUGUGCCCUGUGAAAUAAAAGGAUUAGGAAACCACUUUAUGGCUUGUGAGAUUUAUGGGUUCAGAACAAAUGCCUGUCAUUCACUUGGCCUGCAGCUCUUUUGGAGGCCAAAACAAACCACUUCAAAGAUUUGGUUCAAAAGGAAGACUCAGAUCUCCCCUUAGGAGGCUCUUUGUAAAUGAUGAGAGUGCUGGAAAAAGUCUGGUGUGUCCUGCAGCACCUCUAGGCCACCACUUCAUGUUGUCAGAAUGCAGCAGUAUUGAAAGGUAAAAUUUGUUCCAAAUGUCCCAACACGGUGGAAAUGUCAACCCGGAAAGCCAGUGAUGAUGCAGAUUUAAAAAUGAAUGUACCAGGGGAGAGAGCAAAGAAAAAAUGUGUGACGUUAGCUUUAUUUUCUCUCUUAGAAACAUCAGCAGAAGCCAUGGCAUUGCUUUGCUCAGCUGAAAAGAACUGAAGUUCUUCUGGGAUUAGCAGAGCCAGAGAAAUUUGGUUUCACCUUAACUCGUGGAACCCAAGUGAAUCCUCUGAUGUCUGAUAAAGGAUGAGGUCAUAGUCAACUGUUUCCUGUAACAAAGGGAUUUUGAGGGUCCCUGUCCUAUCUCGUGGCUUUGUAGGGCCUGUCUUUCACCAUAUUUAUGUGAAAUUGGCCAUUUUUUUGCAAUAAGCACCUCAAAUUCUAAAGGAUUCGCUCUUCCAACCCAGUUGCAUGAGGACAGGUAUAGCAGUGUGAUGGGGCUGUAGGUAUCCCUGUUCACUGCAGGAGAGUUGGACCAGAUGGCCUUUAUAGGUCUCUUCCAACUCAAGCAAUUCUGUGAUUCUAUAAUUUGCUCUGGGCUGUUGCUGUUCUGGUAUAGGGGUGUUCUGCCUGCUUGAGGUUCAUUCUUGGCACUGGGAGCCCAGAAGGACUCCUGAGCUGCUGACAUCAUUUAUCAAGCCCAGCUGCUGAGGAAAGAUGCUGAUUGUAGGCAGCCCAUAGCAUGUCAUGGGGAAAACAUUUCCUUCUUCUCCACUUUCCAAGUCACUGAGGGCUUUCUGUGCAAACAGAGACAACUCUGAAUUCCUCCUUGGCAGCCUUCAGCAUGGCUCCAUGGAGCUGUCUGCCUACCACAGAGAGCCACCUGCAUUUAAAUACACUCACCUUCUUUGCAUUAAUCAAAAUGCACUCAGAAGCAGUAGGGAUGCAUUGGGCAAGCCAGGAAGGGUAGCAUCUGUCAUGGGCAAAAGCAUCCAGAUUUUCUAAUGAGGCUGGUGAUCAUGGGUUUAAGCUGGUUAUGUUGCAGUCCCUGCUGAAACUCUUUCAAUCAGUAAGUUCAUGGCCAGUGCCUUUGAAAUCAGAUGCUAUCAAAAUGCUUUCUUUUGUGUACUUUCAGAUUUCAGAGUACUUCAUCCAUUCUGAGAAAUCGUGGCCUUGGGAGACCACCAAAGGGUCUUCAGAGAUUGUAAUAAUGGAGUUUAGUGUAUUAGAAACUAAAAUAAAAUUCUUACUUGCUCACCUUUCGGUGAGUGAUUGUAUACUUUGGUACUCAUAUCUUAGUUAGAAAAAUGACCUGAUGUAAGAAUGCUCAGAGGUUGCCUGUCAGCUCUCCCUCUGCCUGUCUUUUUGGAUCAGUUGUUAAAGCUGGUUCCAGAUUUAUUCCUUCAGAACGACACUGAAUUUCUCUAAAUUUGUACUUGAAUGGUAAUUUUACUGCUCAGCCUGAGUUUAAGCAUUAGGAAGUAUUGUGACACCAGUUCCUUAUUUAUGUUUUGGGCAAAUGCCUAACCCAAAGGUAGCAUAGAAAAAAAGAAGAGCAAAAUAACAACCUUUGGCUUUGCUUUGUGUUUCUAAAAAUACAUCAAGCUGUGUUUGAGGUUUUUUUUUUUGCCUCGGUCUUACUGUAAGCAGAUCAGGUUUGUGACCACUUGAGGAACCUGAACAUCCACAAGCCUGUGUGUCCCGAUGAGAUGCGUCCCAGAGUGCUGAGUGGGGAGGUGAUAUGAGAGAACCAGCGUGGCUUCAGCAAGGGCAAAUCCUGCUUGACCAACCUAGUGGCCUUUUAUGAUGGUGUCACUGCAUCAAUGAACAGGGGAAGAGCCACUGGUGUCAUCUAUCUUGACUUCAGUAGGGCCUUUAACAUGGGACCCCACAACAUCCUUCUUGCCAAAUUGCAUAGACAUGGAUUUGAUGGGUGGAGUGUUUGAUGGACGAGGAAUUGGCUGCUGGAUCAAGUCCAGAGAGUGGUGGUCAAUGGCUCCAUGUCUGGAUGGAGACCGGUGAUGAGUGGUGUCCCCCAGGAGUUGGUGCUGGGGCUGAUACUCUUUAAUAUCUUCAUCAAUGACAUCAACAGUGGAGUCAUGUGCAGUCUCACCAAGUUUAGAUAACCACCUUUAUCAUAAAAAAAUAUAAUAUUCAUGUUGGAAAAAGGAUACUUGCAGUGGAUGAGUUAUUAGAAUAGAGUGGAUUGCUACAAGGCAGGCUCAUUUCAGAUAAUGUCCCCUUGUCUCUCACAGGGACACGAUCCUCUUUUGCUGGCACAGCAAUUAGCUUAUUUGUGUCUCCUCUUCCACAGCUGUGCUUGAAGGUGGAAGAGACUUUCCCUGCUGCGUGAUGUGACAAGUCAGAGGGAUGGGAUUAACAGGGAGGGACUGGGAUGUUUGGUAGAGUACCUAUGAGCACCGCUGAAAGGUUUCAAACGGUUUAAAAAUGGGCUUCAUCUCUUGCUUGGUGUAUUUGAUGUGGACGCUACUCGUAAAACUGGUGCUUUUCUUUGCAACUUAAUAUGUCCAGGAAUCGUUGCCAAGAAAAAAAAAAAAAAAACCCUACAAAAAGUUGUCACCAAAGCUGAAAUGGUUAAAAAAAACUCCACAUUUUGCCAUCAUUUUCCACUGAAUCAGCCUCUAAAUGUUUUAAUGUGCCACAGCUGCUAUGGAAUCAUAUCAAAUAUCUGGUCACAACUGCUUUGGAGAUCCCUCACUUUCUCUUUGGCCCAACCAUGAAGUGAUUAGGUGUUUCACUGUUUGACUUUGCAAUGCCUAAUUGACUUCAGAGCCUGAGUUUGGUUUUCAACAUUCAUUUACUCACUUAAGAGCCUGUGGCUUACUGGCAUUCACUGAAUUAAAAUAUGUGAUUUUGUGUGUGGUAGAGGUAGGACCGCAUGCGUUGCUGUGUGCUGCAGCCCAGGUGAUGGGCACAACUUCUAUCUUUAUUUGCAGCCUUCCUUUAAUCCAUUGUCCAUGACCAUGGAAUAAAUCCAGAAUCACAGCAUCACUAAGGUUGGAAAAGACCUCUAAGACUUCAAAUCCAACCCCAACCCAUCCCUACCACUAAACCAUGUCCCUCAGUGUCACAUCUCCACGGUUCUCGAACACCUCCAGGGCCAGUGACUCCACCACCUCCCUGGGCAGCCUGUGCCAAUGCACCACCACUCUGAUGGAGUAAAAAUUUUUCCUAAUAUCUAAUCUGAACCUCCUCUAGCAUAACUUGAGGCCACUCACUCUCAUCCAAACCCAGAAGAAGAGGCCAACCCUGACAAACCCUGACAACCCCUGAGUUGGAUAGAAUAAGGACUACAGGCUUUAAUGAUAGACCAGAUUUUCCCUGCAGGUAAGUUGGCUCUCUCCACUAAGAAAUUUAAUUUUGCCAUUGCUUUGUUAUGUACUUAAUGGAUUUUUUAAAAACAGUUGCCAGAGCUGAAUAGUGGCUGGUUUGUGUCCAGUGAAGACGGAGUAAAUGGAACAGCUGCACAAAGAUGUCCAACAUAAUAGGUAAUGCAGGUCUUCAAAUAAAACCUAGUGCCAUCAAAGCCAAAAUCUGAAAAGCUCUUAACAGAAAACAUAUUUGUAAAGAACAGAUGGAAAAAAAAUUGUUCUGAGCUGUAUAACAAGAGCACAUCAAUCAGCCCAGCAGCAAUGGCAUACAGAAACCUUCAUGCAAGACCAAAGAACGUAACCAGAACCAGACACAAUUCCAACAGCCCCACACUCCUCAAAAAGCAAGAGCGAGGGUGAACCAUGUCCUAGGAGACUAAUGAUAGACAGGAAGCACAGUAGUUUGGGGAGGCAUUUUAUCUCCAUAAAGUUGGGGUUUGGGAGAAUUAGGAAAGCAUCAUUCCAAUACAUUUUUCAGCAGAUCAGUUAAAAAUACAGCCUUGAGCUCUCAACCAGUCUUUUUUAUGUGUGCUGGAAAGCCAGUGAUAAUCGAGCUGUCCGUAAGAAGCAGCAAGCACUCCAGUGUAUAUGUAUUCCCCUGCGUAUUUUUAUGCUAUUUUUGCCACUAGAUGUCUCUGCUGACUUCACAGUGCAUUGCAUGGGCUGCUUUACCUGGUGAACAGGAGACACCAAGGUGGAAACCAAGCUGUGGCAAAACCUGCUUCUCACUACAUUUACUAGGGUUUUAUUUCUCAUUAAUGAUAUCAUCUGUUGGAGAUGGCCCUUGAGUUGUGAGUCUGUGCGAAUUUCUCAGCUUCCUCCCUUUCUUUCAACUGGGAAUGGGAAUGAGACAGUUGCUUUCAUCCAUCAUUACUCCUAUUUUGGAGCACUCCUCUGCCACUUUGAUUCUCAUCCUCUUCCCAUCUCCCUGGCAAUUUCUUUGCUUGUGCAGGGCAUUGCAGGGAUCUGUAUGCUGUUAUGAGUGAAUCAGAAUAUCCUGAGUUGGAAGGAACCCACAAGGAUCAUCAAAUCCAACUCCCGGCUCUGCAGAGGACAACCUAAACACUACUAAGAGCAUCCUAAACUCUGCUAAGACUAAGAGCAUCAAUUCCUUUAAAUCACCCUGUGAGCAGCACAAAGGUCUGUGGGAUGUCAUGUAGAGCUCGGGGUGUCUGAGGAAGGCACAGUUUCUAUAGGUGCUAACAUGGGAACAAGAAAUCAUAGACCAACCUGCGUGAUCAGGUGCAGAUGCUGACUUUAAGCUCCAAUGCUCAAGAUGUGAGGUGGCUUGAGGCUGAAAUCUAGAUGGCUCUGAGCUUUGCAUUCGGCCAGGAAUGGAUGAAAUGAUGACAGCACUGGCUGUGUGUCCUCUGAAGGAGAUCUGGUUGUCUAAUGCUGGCUCACAGCAAGUUACGCAGCCUUAAUUCAUAGAAUCACGGAAUCAUAGAAUGGCCAGGGUUGGAAGAGACCUUAAAGAUCAUCCAUUUCCAACCUCCCUGCUGUGGGCUUUUUUGUUUGUUUGUUUGUUUGUUUUUGUAUUGCAGCUCAGUGCUCUAUGCUUCCAUUAGUGCUCUAUGCUUCCACUGGGAAGCUUUCAACACCAAAUGACACCUACCCAACUCCACUGUCUUCCCACGACAGUUGAGGGCAGUGGCCAAAUGCAAGGAAAUUCCAGGACUGCUCAGAGGCGUAUCUCAGACAGCUGAUGUUUUAACAGGCUGCCCUUAAGAUAAUGGUGAGAAUUAGCAAGUUUUGUCCCCACUCCAUUAUUUUGCUCUGUAUAUCAGCAGCAAUUAUCAGAAAGGAAGCCCUGCACGGGAUAGGUGGGACUUUGAGAAACAACUGUGUGAUAUACAUUCUGGGACUGGCAAAUGUGGUCAACGUAUCUCUGAACUCACAUGACAACACUUUCAGUCUGAGUUUAAAACCAGUAACUGCAGGAAGAGAAGGUGGAAACCAGAGCUUGGGCUGGUCCCUGGGUCUGAUACUGCAUCUUCAAACAAUGACCUGAAUGCAGGAGGUUUUGUAGAUUUCUCAUCUCUUUACGUAUUUGCAGUAGUGGAAAAGUUGCAUCUAAAACCAAUGUGUGUCAGAGUGCAAAUCCUCUUCUUUCGCCUUUUAUUCCAUUUGCUUUCUUUGUUAGAAUCAGAACGGUUUGAGUUGGAAGGGACUGUCAAAGGUCAUCUGGUCCAACUCCCCUGCAGCGAACAGGGAUGCCCACAGCUCCAUCAGGAGCUCAGAGCCCAUCCAGUCUGCCCCUGAAUGUCUUUAAGGAUGGGAUAUCCAGCACCACUGGGGGCAAGUUGUGCCAGUGCCUCACCACCCUUAUUGUGCUAUGUAGUAUAGUACUGAGUGUUCUGAAGUGCAAAGAGAUUCACUCUCCCUCUGUCAUCAAGCUGCCAUGUGAUGCAGGGAUCCCACUUAUAGCAUCCCUGUUCCUCGGUCUGACCACCUUAAACAGGGAAGAGCAACAUGGACUGAAAGGGAUAUAAAUGCUUGAGAAGCCCUGAGGUCAGGAUACUGAGACGUGUGAGCUGCUGUGACACAGUGAAAAAGAAGAGAAAUGAAUGGGUUGAUGGUUGGACGGGAUGAUCUUAGCGGUCUCUUCCAACCUUAAUGAUUUUCUGAUUCUGUGAAUGAAGUUAUAGGUGCAAACCAUGCUCCAGCAUGGGGACUGUUUCCAGGAAUUACAGUCAAUCCCAGAUCCCAUAGGAAAAACAAAAACAAAAACAAGCUGACUUAAGCUUGUGGUUACAUUAAAUGGGAUUUGUCAGAGAGAGCUGAUAAAGACCAUAACAAUUAAAAGAUGUUACAUGGGGACUUAUUCCCUUUGAAGGCUGGAUGAGCCUCACUUAAUUACCUAAUCUGACGUAAUUUGUCAUGGAGAUCGCUGACUUUUGUUCUGUGGCUCUUAGAACACACUCCAAAACUUCAGUGCCUGGACUGCUUGGGUCAUGGAUGGAUCCAUGGUGUUACAGCCACAGGUUUGAAGAAGCCUAGUUGACCAAUUACUUCAUUAGAUUAGAGCAGAGAGAAGUUCAAAAUGGUUGAACUUGGAAGGAAAGGAUCUUUGUGUCCACUUGGCUACGCUCUAGCAGAGACACCCAGAGUAGGGUGCCCAUGUCUAGGCCACAAAGGAUCAGGUCCAGAUAACCUUCCCAGAGACUAGAACGGAUAUGAACAGCCAGUUCUGGAAAGCAAUGGAAGUCAGUGAUAAAGAUACAGACCUUUCCAUCUCAUCUAGCCACUGAGCCAGAACAAUCUUUGUCUUUGAUAGGACAAGAGGUAAUGGCUUUACAUUGUGCCAGGGGUGAGUCAGCUUGAAUAUUAGGAAAAAAAAAUAUUUUCCAAAAGAGUGGUAAUGCAUUAUUAGAACAGGCUGCCCAGGGAGGUGGUGAAGUCACCAUCCCUGGAGAUGUUCAACAAAAGGGUAGAUGUCCCUUUGAGUGACAUAGUUUAGUGGUAUGGUGGUAAUGUGUUGGGGUGGCACUUGGUGAUCUUAGUGGUCUUUCUUACCUUAAUGAUUCUAUGAACCUUCACUUUGCUGGCAUAGAGACAACUGAGAUACUGGAGUGUCUGCUCUAGUAGGUGUUCUGGUAAGCUGAGUCACAUAGGUCACAAAAUUUCAGCUUUCUAUGGAUUUGUUCAGCUCUGUCCAUUGCACAUACAAAGUGCACUUGGGAGCUUGCAGCCAGCAGGGGUGGAGAUGGGGAGGGAGCAGAGCAGGUUCCAUUGAUCACUUUCACCUCCAGGCUGCUGUCUCCAGCUUUUUGAGGACACCUUGCAGCUCACCGCUCUGCUGAAGCACCAAGUCAAGCAGCUUGGCAGCAGCAAUCACUCACUCCUGUGCUUUAAAACCUUCCCUAAUGCUUUGUUUCAGUAAGAAACACUGAACGCAAAGAGGGAGAUUGUAUCCAAAGUGGAUGCUGAAGGUUCAGCGGUGGACAGCUACUCUAUGCAACUCUGUUAGAAAUAAACAGUGAUCUUUAUUGUCUUGCUGCCAACGAGGACUGGUACAGGUUUGGUUGGGCAAAUGGAAGUCAUCCACAGAAAUGCUGUCUGAGGGGCAGAAGGUGGAUAAGUAAGAAACAACAGGAGUGCUGGAAAGGACUGACUAUGCAUCACCAAUUUGAUCCAAGGGGAAGAAGCCAGUGAGUUUUUCAGGCAGACUCCCCUUGUAAAGUUAGAAUGAUGUUACACCCGAUGACCUGCCCACCCAGGUUGGUUGCAGAAGCACCAUAAAAAAUGAAGGGCAAGUGGAAAAAGGUGCAGGUACUCAUCGCUGAGGACACCAGGGGGUAAACAGGUCAUGUGAAGGCUUGGAUUCAAGUCAACUUUAGUUAUCUAGUAGUUUCAAAUAGGCAUGGUUGUCUGGACCCUCACCACGGUGCUGGAACAUGCUACCCAGAGAAGUUGUGGAUGUCCCAUCCCAGAAGGUCUUCAAGGCCAGGAUGCACAGGGCUCUAGGCAGCCUGAUCUGCAGCCUGAUCUAGUGAUUGGCAACCCUGCCUAUGGCAGGGGGUUGGAACUUGGUAAUCUUUGAGGUCCCUUCCAACCCAAGUCAUUCUGUGAUUCUGUGGUGCAUGGAAAAGUGAACUGUUGUAGAUGGGCAUCUUUGGGGUGAGCUUGCUUUGCCUCUGUAAUUCCCUUCUCUCCAUUUUCACUGCUUGACAACACUAGCUGACUAUCUAGUGCUUGGCUUAACGCACUGAAAAAAAAACAGCCCUCCAUCAGAGGAAAAAAAACAGGAAAAUCCAGGCAUGAAUGCCCAAGUGACAUCUUGUGAGAGGCACAGCCCGCAAUCAGCUGUGAGAAGGGUGAGAACAGGAGGCUGAAAGGAGGGCUGCUUUGGGUGCCAAGCAAGAGAGAUUAUUUGGAGUGCAUCAAAGGAAAGGGAAGCAGGAGGUGAUAAUGUGGGACAGCCCUUCCCCAGGAUAGGAUCUGCAGGGAAGCAGCAGGAGCCCCAGAGACCAGGGCUCUUGCAUCAGGAACAGGGGAAGAAGCAAUGCAUAACCUCUAAGGAACAGUCUCAGAGCAAGCAGGGGACAUCUGUAUUGAACAACACCUCUAGCUCUUAUUUCUUGUCAUUGCUUUAGAAAGAGCAGUGGUUCAUUUGGAGACUGCAGUGAUUAUUGUCAAAAUAUUUGACUCCAGCACAAGAAGGACAUGGAGCUGUUGGAGAGGGUCCAGAGAAGGCCACAAAGAUGCUCAGCACCUCUCAUAUGGAGUGGCCUUCCAGUGCCUAAAGAGGGUGCAGGAGAGCUGGCAAGGGAUUCUUUGUUAGGGGGUGUAGGAACAGGAAAAGGUGUAAUGACUUUAAACUAAAAGAGAUGAUAUUUAGAUGGGAUAUAAUGAGGAAAUUCUUAACCAUGAAGGUGAUAAGGCCCUGGCACAAGCUGCCCAGGGGAAUGUGGAUGCCCCAUCUCUGGCAGUGCCCAAGGCCGGGCUGCAUGUGGCUUUGGGCACUGCCCACAGAGGGGUUGGAAUUGUAUGGCUUUUAAGAUCCCUUCCAACCCAAGCCAUUCUGAUUCUAGUCUAUGAUUCUAUGACUCUGGGGACCAUGAGAUGGCGCAGUUCCCCCGGACAUCGUGCACAGCUGGCUGCCCACCCCAGGCGUUCUCCCCAAAACCACCUCCCCAACUGAGUGAUGCGUUAAGGGGCUGCUGCUUUAUACACUGCAUAACUACAUCACCUAACCCCCUUUCUCUUUUCCGUUCCUAGGGAAUAAGUAAGGUUCUGCGGGACAAGAAAGAGCAAUCCAGCACAGUGUGCUCUGGUAUUAGCAAGUGUGAGCCUUGCAGAGAUCCCUUUCCUAAAUGAGGCUUAAAAAUGGUAAACUGAUGGCAAAUGCAUUUAAUGUUUUGGGAUUUUUUUUGUUUGUUUUUUGUUUUUUUCCCCUGGAAAGCACUGCAAGGACAUUUUACUAGCUGAUAAAGAAUGGAUGCAGAACAUAUGGCAGAAGGUGUUGGACUUCUGUAUCAUAUACUCUUAUCUCCAGGAGUGGGAAGAAUAGGUCUGAGGGAGUUAGGUCCUGGUUGCAGAUAGUGUCCGGUGCUGUUUUAGGGUCUUUUUUGGGCUGGUGGAGGGGUAGCAGCCCCAGUGUCCUGGCUGAUUUCCAGGCAGAAGGGCUGUGUUGACCCUCCCAUAGGUUCUUCAUCCAUUUGAACAGGAUCCAGGUGUUUUUUUCUUUUUCUCCUGCUUCCCUUUCCAAGCAGUUGGGUCAUCUCGCUGUGCAUUCAGGUUGCCCCCCAAGUGGUUGAGUGGUUGUGUUUUGGUGGAAAAUCUGUGUCUGCUCGUGAAUUGAAACACUUAUCUUCAUUGCAGAGAGGACCUGUGUCCUGUGGGCUCCAUUCCAUGGAUAAAUGUGAUUUGGGAUAUGAAGAGAAUUUCAUCCUUUGGAGAUUGUAUUUCAUAGAAUUGUUUGAGUUGGAAGGGACCUUUAAAUGCCAUCCGGUCCAACUCCCCUACAAUGAGCAGGGACACUCACAACCCCAUCAGGUGCUCAGAGCUCCGUCCAUCCUGAUCAACUGGUCACACGGUGGUUGCAGCCAGCCUAGAUCUUGCCUUCCUUGGACAUAAUUUGCACGCGGAGUCACACGCAUAGGCACAUCAUGGUGCUGCCUCUGGCAGUGUAUGGGAAUGCUCCCUGUCAGGAGGGUUUGGUAUUCAUUCCCUGGAGCAUCACUGAUCCCCAGUGUGAUACAGUCCGAGCUCACCCUCCUGUUGCACCAACACAUUUCUCUCUAUCUUGAAAUACGUCUGUAAAUGCCCUCCCGGCGCGUCAGGCCCUGAUCCUUAUCACCCAUACACUUGAGAGAUCAAAACAGCCACGGGAAGGCUUCUCCAGGCUGUGCUGCAAGUGCCCCCUCGGCCACAUUCCUGUGCAGGAUUGGAGCUUUGUGUUGCUCUGUGCCAACACCACCUCCUGCCUUGGCCAUGUGUGCAGGCAUCUGGGGAUGCUUGAAGAGCCUGAUGGGUGAAGGUACUGCCACUGGCCCCAAGGAGAGAGGGGAUAAGUGUCCCUGCAAGGCACGCCCAUCCCUUCUGGAAUGGUUUUGUCAUUGUUUUCCAAGUUCAGCACAGCUCCUGCCACAUCCCAUCAGCAUUCCUGGAGGUGUCCAAGAACUAUGGACUUGUAGCACUGAGGGACAUGGUCAGCAGGCAUGGUGGGGAUGGGUUAGGGUUGCACUUGGGGACCUUAGUGGUCUUUUCCAACCUUACUGAUUGUAUGAUCCCACCUCCAACCAGACAAACAUUUCAUCAAGGAAAGCAGCACAGGAAGCACAGGAAAGCAGCACAGCUUCACCUACAAACACAGUGCUGAAGUCUAAGCCAGGAGCAUGGCUUUCCUCUUUAGGUGCCCACCCAAACCUCCAUGAGAUCCAAGUCUCCCCUCAGAGGUGCCGUUCUCCAUCUACCAGGUGCCCAGGACACCUGACCACACACUCUUCAGUGUGUAAUUCCUUAUAUUUAAUGUCUUCAGCACCCUAUGUUGCCAUCCAGCUUCCCCUACCAGUUUUCAUGAUGCUGAUUCCCAGACCAUCUACCCCAAAUCUGCUGGAUGCUGAGACCUGGAAACAAAUGGGAUCCCCCAUUGGGAUGCAGGAUGGGACAAGUACAAUAGCAGGGAUAUGGCUACCCUUGGCAGUUCCAGUUGGAAUACUCCUGAGCUUCUCCCUGUGCUUUUUCUCCACUGCCCAAUGAAGCUUCCUGACUCCUGAUUGUGAGCCGAGCUCUGCAAACCUAUGAAUUCCUCCUUGCUUACACACCACAAUCUUUAUUUGUUUAAUCAAAAGGGCCCCUGAUAAUUAUUAACAUAUUUAAUUAUUUUUAUUCUGAGUCACUCUGCUCGGGCGUGGAGUGAUCACAAAGAUUUCCACUACAAAGCCCAGAGCCUGGAGCAUUUGCAGCACCAAGGAAUCAACCCAUCACACACAGAGCUCCCAUUUUACUUCUCUGGGAAGUCCUGACUCCCGGAAGAGCAAAAUAAGGCACAUUCAGACAAACGGUUUCAAACUGAAGCAGGAAAUUGAGAUUGGAUAUAAGAUGAAAGGUUUUUACAAUAAAGGUAGUGAAGCACUGGUACAAGUUGCCCAGAGAAGUGGUGGGUGCCCCAUCCUUGCAGACAUCCAAGGUCAGGCUGGACAGGGCUCCGAGCACCUGAUGGAGCUGUGGCUCUCCCUGUUCAUUGCAGGGGAGGUGGACUAGAUGGCCUUUCAAGAUCCCUUCCAAAUCAAAUGAUUCUAUGGUUCUGUGAUUCUAAAGUAGGGAGGUGCCGACCUUGGAGCAGAGCUGGCAAGGUGAUGCUCAUCUGAGCUGUGCUCUUCCCACCCAGCUCCCACCUGAGGUCUGUCUGUCUGUCCCCACAAAUAAUCACACCGCUCCACCCCCACCUGUAGCUCGGCAGAGGCAAUCACAGCACGCUGCAAUUAGCACUGUUUGAUGAGGAAACUCCAAAUUCUGCACUUCCACAUGAUUUAUGAGCUGCCCAGGCUGCAGUCAUUCCCGUUUCUGGCGGUUCAUGGUGAGGCUGCCUGGAUUUUCCUUGUCUGCUAUCCAUCAGGGCUUUGCAGGGAAUCACUGCUCUGGGUGAACACCCCUUUGAGACACCAGGGUCACUCUGUGCCCCCCACCCCAUCACUGCAACGUCCUUGUGCACCCCAAACCUGAGGAGAAAAAGGACAGAGGAACAUCAUUGUUUGGCUUGGUCCAUCCUGGCACCAACCUGGGUGGGCUUGGUUCCUCCUCUGUGGGCUCUUCUCUGUGCCCAGAAGGGUUACCCAAAAUUACAGGGGAGCAGGAUUGUGGUUCCUAUGGGACCACCUUGUCCUGAGCCUUCAGCAUCCGAAGAAUCAGCAUCACUGGCAAACAGGAAUUGUUUUAACAACCCAUCCUGCCAAUGGAGCAGGGUUGCAUUAGCGAGAUCUAUGAAGCUGAGGAUGAGAAUUGCAAAGAUAGAAAAAAAAAAAAAAAAAAAAAGAACAACUGAGCAAAAAAUCACAUUAAGAAAAUUUAGGUGCUUGUUGAAAUCUUUAUUUGAGAAUAAGGUUUUGGUUAAAUGCAUCUAUAAAUGUUUAUGCAGAGAAAGAGUGAAAGAGGCAGAAAGAAAGUAGUUUUACACACACACACACACAAAAAUUAAGCAAAUCUUUUAGUAAAAGCCAGAACACUGAUGCUACUUAAAAAAAGAACAUAAGAUAAGGGCUGGCCUCUCCUUUCCUGGAGGGAAAAUGUUGGAAAAUAGUGAUCAGGCUGUUCCUUCCAAGGCUGGGCUCUUGCUCAGAAAGCCUUCUUUUUUAUUUGCUCUGAAGCAUUUUAUCAGCAUUUUCAUUCAUUCUAAUAAUAUCAGCACUUCUUUUGUCUUGGCUGUUUUCACUGCAGACGCCAGGAAGCACAACUGGUGUCCUGGAAAGGCUUCUCCUCACCAAAACCUGUUUGCAGUCCCACUGCAGACCCCAGAGGCCUUGCAAUGCUGGUGUUGCCUUAUCCCUCUGAAGUCCAGAGAAGCUGUGGGUGCCCCAUCCCUGUAGGUGUUCAAGGCCAGGUGGGAUGGGGCCCUGGGCAGCCUGACCUAGUGAUUGACUUAAUGGUUGUCAUCCCUGUCAAUGGCAGGGGGUUGGAACUAGAUGAUCUUUGGGGUCCGUUCCAAUCCAAGCCAUUCUGUGAUCCUAUGAAGUCCUUGUGUGUGUCCAUGCAACCCCCAGGGCAGGGAAGAGUGGGCUUUGGGAACAAAAUAAGGACUCUUCUUGCUUACAGAUGCUGCAAACUGGGAUGAAUGCUGAAGGAGAGAGCGGUGCCAAGUCCUGUAUGCAGACUGUCCCAAAGCCAGACCCUAAAACUCACCACGGGAUGCUACAGAAACCCUUGGGAUUAGUGGCCAGGGCACAGAAGUGCAGGAGGUGGGAUGGAGCAUUGCUUCUCCUUGCUCCAUCAGACAAACUUGCAUUGGAAUGCAAAUGUUUGGAACGUCUCAGCAGCUGAGCAUCUUCUCAGGACAUCUUGGGAUCUUGAAACCUCUGUGUUAUUUGAGCCUGGGCUAUUUUUGAUCCAGUUGGGCUGUCUGAGUUAAUUCCUAGCUUGCACAAGCAGCUGUCCUGGGAAAACAGAGAGGUUGAGAUGAAAGACCCGAGGCUGCGGCUGCCUCAUUGCUGCUGCUGCUGGGAACAACUCCGUGCCAUCGCAGCCUCCUCUGCUCCCACCACUCCCAGCCCCUCCACAAACCUCCAGACAAAGCUCCUUUAUUGCAAGGCCAGAGCAGGGAGGGGAAACACAGGGCUGUGAAAGCUGCGGCUAUAUUAAGCCAUGGAAAACCACAAGAAUAAGUGCCUGCAAUCCCAGCCACACUGAACCUGUCUGCUGACUUCCUCUCCAAACCCAAUCUCAAGCGUGACCCAGGUGGGAAAAUGCCUGUGGUCGUGACCAUCCCCCUCUGAAAACACAAAGCCAGGCAUUUAUCUGAGCGGUUGAUUGCAAAGCUCUGCACUGCAAUUUGCUCUGCUCUGCAAAAUAACAAAGCCAAGACGCUGCAGGUAACAGCCAGGCCAAGAAGUCUGCGAGUUUCAUUCCCUACAAGUGAGUUUUGGCACAGUAGCUACUUCACACCCAAUUAAUUACUUCAGCACCAGAUUAUACUUGCAGGCUCCAAUAGGAGUGAUAAUAGGAACCAAUUAAAUUAAUUUAUAUUUACUUUGUAAGCAUAUUUUCCUUUGGUAAAUCUUUGCUUUAAUUUGACAGAUUGGACUCCAGUAUUUUGUUUUUGUUACGAGAUACGGUCCUAAAUCCAGAGGAACAUAUCCAAACCUGUAAAGCCAAGAAGUCUUUCCCUUUCAGGUUUUAAAACAUGUAGGACACGGAUUUAAAAAAAAAAAAAGUAUGCACGUGCCCAGACUAAUAAAACAUGAAAUGCAUGGGGAGGUACUGGCACAAGUGUCUUCCUAGAAGAACAAAGUCAUCAUUAAAUCAGUGCAGAUGAGAGAUGAGGAGCCCGGGUGAUGCAGAGUCCCCAGGAUGCACCAGGUUGGUUCUUGUGCUGUCACCUUACCCAGAAGUGAACCAUUUACAAAGCAUUGCAAUAUCUCAUCCACGUCUCAGGCAACAACCCUAAAAAAGCAUGUCCUUUCCUUCCUUUUCCAGCCUUCAGUGGUUUACAAAGUGAAGUUCUUUUCACCCCUGUGGAACCUCUCCUGAAAUUAAGACACCAUCUAUCCUUGGAUGGUAUCUCCUCUCCUCUCCUCUCCUC